rnacentral:rRNA from 1 species
CAGCAGCAGCCGCGGGAAUACGAAGGGUGCAAGCGUUACUCGGAAUUACUGGGCGUAAAGCGUGCGUAGGUGGUUGUUUAAGUCUGCUGUGAAAGCCCUGGGCUCAACCUGGGAAUUGCAGUGGAUACUGGGCGACUAGAGUAAGGUAGAGGAUAGUGGAAUUUCCGGUGUAGCAGUGAAAUGCGUAGAUAUCAAGAGGAACACCGGUGGCGAAGGCGGCUUCCUGGACAAGUCCUGACUCUGAAACACGAAAGCCAGGGGAGCGAAUGGGAUUAGAUACCCGCGUAGUCCCUGUCUCUUAUAC